UGGUUGAAAUUCUAGGUGAGAAGGUUGUCCUUCCUUUAUCCUCCAUAGUGUUAUGUGUUCUAGAUCAAACCUAACCAUCCAUAAAGUGACUCUCUGUUCUUUUAAAAAUGUUCCUUUUAACAAAACCUUGCACGUGCUUUGUUUUAUAAAAAAAAUCAAUAGUUUAGUAAUUGUAGCAGCUGAGCAAGAACGAUAUAGGGAGUCGACCUUGAACCUUGGUUCGUGCCCAUGAAAUCUUGUUGAAAUUCUAGUGAGGAUGCACGAGCGUUAGCGUUGCAUGAUUCAGUAUUCCAGUUACAAAGUUAAUAGUUUGGGUGCGGGAUGGAUUGGCCCCCAUACCACUUACCCUUAUUAUUUUCUCUUGUACGUUGGAGUGGGGAAUCACAUUGUUUUUCCUUAAUUAGUGGAGAGAUGAUGUUCAGUAGCUGGAACUAUAGAAUGGUAUGCCGUUCCACCUGUAGUAUAGGAGAUCUCUGCCAAGCGUUGGAGAUGGUGAAGCUAAAUCUUCGUCGUUUUAUGGUACAAGAUAUAUGCCCUUAUAGAAUACCAUGAGAGUUUUGGAUAGGUCAUGCGGUGUUUUUUUUUGGGGUUCCAAAGGUGAAAAAUGUUGAGCAUCAAGUGGGCAUGUAACAUCUAUAUUCUUCAUAAGGGUUUCAUGAUUUACCAAAGACAAGGAUGGGUUUUUAUGACCAAGAUACCAUGUUUUUUUUUCAAGUUCUUCGAGAAUAAAACAUGGAGUUUCACAUUGAUAUUAUUCCUGUCGCUCGACCUAUCUAUAUGUUUCCUUAUCGAUUGUGAUGACCAUGUUAAGAAGAGUUGAAGAAUCUACUGGAUUAUUGUUAUCCCAAGGUUUUGGUCAACUUAGUGUCUCACCUUAGGGAACACCCAUUUUCUUAUAACCAAGAAGUGUGUGGAUUGUUGUGUUCUAAACAUUGUAACAAUCAAGAGGAAAAAUGCAUUUCCUCACAUCGAGGACUUGUGUGAUGAGCUGAACAGAGUUGUGUUCUCCAAGAUUGAUCUCCUGCGUAGCCAUAAUAGAAUGGGAACAUGACAUUGAAAAGAUUUCAUCCUCCAUUAGGUAUGGGCAUUAUGAAAAUAGAGUUAUCUUCUGGACUAGCGAAUGCAAUUUCAUGAUGGGAACAAACCAUAUCGUGCAUAUGUUUCUAACUUCGUGGUAGUCUUCAUGUAUGAUAUACUCAUAUAUUCUAGGAAAAAAUAGUAGCAGUAAGCACCAUUGUGGCUUAUGCUUUAGACGUUGAGAAAUAGUAAAUUAUAUGCAAAUCUAAACAAACUUGAUUUUUGAUUUUUUUUGAAGUGGGUUUUCUUGAUAGUGUGUGCUCAUGCAAGAUGGAAAUACUAAAUUAAAAAUACAUGGGCAGGACUAUCGUACUCUUGAUCUAGAAUUUGCUUGUGUCAUCUUUGCACUAAAGAUUUGGGAGCAUUGUCUGUAUAGGGAGUCUUGUGAUAUUUUCACUCCUCAUAAGAGUCUCAAAUACCUCUUCACACAUGAGUUCCACUCGAGACAAAGUCGGUGGCUGGAAUUGAUAAGAGGACUAUGGCCUAUCUAUCUAGUACAACCUAGGCAGGCCAAAUGUGAUUCCAUACGCCCUUAGUCGGAUCUUCUUUUCUCCCACUAUAGAUUAUCUCAUGGCAUAUCUUUAAAGGAUGGCCAUCUCAUAUUGAUCUUCAGUGUGGCACAUGAGGAUACGUAGUUCUUUAUCUACCCAGAUACAUGAGGCGCAACACCUUGAUCAACCAAUACAUCAAGGGAGAUAGAACACAUUCAAAAAAAAAAGGUUGAACUGGAUAGUUCACAAUAGAUGGGACCAAGGCUGCUUGGUUGAAUGACCAUAUUUUUGUGCCACGAAAGUCUCAGGUGCAAGGUCAUUCAGAGCGAGGCACAUCGUACCCUAUAUACCAUUUUUAUUGGAGGGAUAAAGAUGUACGAUGAGCUGAAAAAGAAUUAUUUGUGGUAAACAAUGAAAUGUGUUGUGGACAAGUAUCUGUCCUAUUAUGAGGUUUGUUUAUGAGUGAAGGCUAAGUGUAAAAUACCAACGGGAUGGGUAGUAAUCCUUGGAGGUUCCAUAAUGGCCAUCAUAUAUUUUUUGUCCUACCUAGCAUGGGAAACACGCAUGAUGCAAUUUCGGUGGUUGGACAUCGACUUAUCAUAUUUUCCCAUUGUAUUCUUUCCCAAAACAAACUAAGUUCCUUGGCACCAAUAUAUGUGUAGAAGAUAGUAUAGUUGCAUGUUGUUUCUGAAACCAUUACUUGUGAUAGGGAUGCUAAGUUUGUAUCAAAAUCUUGGGAGAACUUGCAGAGUGCACUAGGUUUGCAAUUGAGACUUGGUAAUGCAUUUCAUUCCCGAACAAUUGGCCAGUUAGAGCGUAAAACUUUGGAAUGUGUGUAGAGACAUUAUGUCCUAACCUGGCAAGGGAGAUAGGAAGGUCACUUGUCACUUGUGGGGUUCUUUUAUAAUAAGAGCUGCCAGGAUCUCAUAGUAAUUGUAACAUACAAGGAUCUUUAUGGGAGAAAGUGUAGAUCUCCACUUUGUUGGAAUACCAUUGGAGUGUUGGGAGCAAAGUAGAUUCAGCGAACUAUAUAUUGGGUGCCUGAGAUUAGGCAACAAAUGGUAGCAACGCAUAGCAGAACAAGAGGUAGAGGGGGGACUUCAAGGUAGCGAGGAGGCAUUCUUAAUAGUGUUGCCCACUAAAGGGGUUAUAAGAUUUAACAUCAAAGGAAAGCUUAGUCCGCGGUACAUUGGACCUUUCAUGAUAGUGGCACGAGUAGGAAAGUUGGCCUACCGACUUGAGUUGCCCGAGACAAUGAAAGGCGUGCAUAAUAUUUUCCAUGUCUCUAUGCUGCGGAAGCAUUUUCGUGAUCCAGAACGACAAAUAACCAUGGAACUAUUUACGAAUGAGCAAGAUUUAACCUUUGAGGUUCGCCCUGUGAGGAUACUAGAUGAGUCCAAGCGAGUGAUGAGGAAUAGGUCGUUAAAGUAAGUGAAGGUUCUUUGGUCGCAACAAACCGAGCGUGAGGCGACUUGGGAGCUUGAAUCUCGCAUGCGUGAGAAAUAUCCAGAAUUGUUCAUGACUGGUAUGUGAUUCAUGAUUGUGUUUUUAUAUGUUAUGAGGAAGAAUUCGGGGUCGAAUUCUGUUUAAGGGGGUAAGAAUGUAAUAUCCCAAAUUUUUGAAGCUAAUUUUCUGGACAUAUUUAAGAAAAAGAAAAAAAAUAACUUUGAGGAUAGUUUAAUUAUGCUUUUUAGGAAUACGAAGUGUUAGAGAAAAGAAAAGAAAAAGGGAAGAAAGAAAUAUAGUAAGUUUGUGCUUGAUCUGGCAAUCUACUUUUAUUUUUAGAGCUGUAUAGUUGGACGUAAAAAACUAGUCUGGUUCCCUGUAUCUUCCUAUUACGUGAAGCAAGUGACGGGUUGGGCUGGGCUUAUUGUUGUUUCCGAUCUGGGCUUGUACAAUGUUUGUGUCUCCCUGUAUGUUAGGGCAGAGUUGAAAGGCGUCGCCACGAUCUGCCCUGUAGUAUCCCAGUGCUAGCGCCCAGGCCGCCGCCGCUGCGUUUCCCCCAUUGAGCGCUGUCGCCGUUUGGUUGUCGUCGCCGCUGCUGCAAGGCCUCGACGGCGUCCUCCGCGGAUAGGCUCGUCUCUGCGUGGAACCCUCUCGCCAAGAGCUGCAAGGUGGUCGGGUGUUGUUACUUCUGGUACGGAGUCCUACAAUCAACAGUUAAUGCCCCGUGGUUGAGGUAAACCUUGAGGACGCCAUGCAUGGGGAGUUUUGGGAGUAGCACCUUCACCAUAUACACAUCACGAUUCUUAUUUUUGUCACCAAUCUGUUUGAACUAAGCAUUUGAUAGUUGGAUUUAGCUUUGUCAUAAACGGUCAUGGGGUUUGUGUUGGACAUGGUUACCGAUAUUGUGUGCAGAUAAUAGUUUCUAUAGUUGUGGUAUCGCAGCUUUAUACAUGAUUGAACAUUACGCUUA